rnacentral:tRNA from 1 species
GUUUUUAUAGUUGAAUAACAACAGUAGUUUUUCGGACUAAAAGUUUUGGUUAUAUUCCAAGUAGAAAUU